CCUACGGGGGGCAGCAGUGGGGGAUAUUGCACAAUGGGGGAAACCCUGAUGCAGCGACGCCGCGUGUGGGAAGACGGUCCUCUGGAUUGUAAACCACUGUCCCCAGGGACGAAGAUGACGGUACCUGGGGAGGAAGCUCCGGCUAACUACGUACCAGCAGCCGCGGUAAUACGUAGGGAGCGAGCGUUGUCCGGAAUUACUGGGUGUAAAGGGAGCGUAGGCGGGACUGCAAGUUGGGUGUAAAAUCUACCGGCUCAACCGGUAGCCGCACUCAAAACUGCAGUUCUUGAGAGAAGUAGAGGCAGGCGGAAUGCGUAGUGUAGCGGUGAAAUGCGUAGAUAUUAGGAGGAACACCAGUGGCGAAGGCGGCCUGCUGGGCUUUUACUGACGCUGAGGCUCGAAAGUGUGGGGAGCGAACAGGAUUAGAUACCCCUGUAGUC
rnacentral:rRNA from 1 species